rnacentral:rRNA from 1 species
CCUACGGGAGGCUGCAGUAGGGAAUAUUGCUCAAUGGGGGAAACCCUGAAGCAGUAACGCCGCGUGGAGGAUGAAGGUUUUCGGAUUGUAAACUCCUUUUGUUAGAGAAGAUAAUGACGGUAUCUAACGAAUAAGCACCGGCUAACUCCGUGCCAGCAGCCGCGGUCAUACGGAGGGUCCAAGCGUUACUCGGAAUCACUGGGCGUAAAGAGCGCGUAGGCGGGAUAGCAAGUCAGAUGUGAAAUCCUAUGGCUUAACCAUAGAACUGCAUUUGAAACUGUUAUUCUAGAGUAUGGGAGAGGUAGGUGGAAUUCUUGGUGUAGGGGUAAAAUCCGUAGAGAUCAAGAGGAAUACUCAUUGCGAAGGCGACCUGCUAGAACAUAACUGACGCUGAUGCGCGAAAGCGUAGGGAGCAAACAGGAUUAGAUACCCGAGUAGUC